UGGGGAAUAUUGGACAAUGCGCGCAAGCCUGAUCCAGCCAUGCCGCGUGAGUGAUGAAGGCCCUAGGGUUGUAAAGCUCUUUCACCGGUGAAGAUAAUGACGGUAACCGGAGAAGAAGCCCCGGCUAACUUCGUGCCAGCAGCCGCGGUAAUACGAAGGGGGCUAGCGUUGUUCGGAUUUACUGGGCGUAAAGCGCACGUAGGCGGACUUUUAAGUCAGGGGUGAAAUCCCGGGGCUCAACCCCGGAACUGCCUUUGAUACUGGAAGUCUUGAGUAUGGUAGAGGUGAGUGGAAUUCCGAGUGUAGAGGUGAAAUUCGUAGAUAUUCGGAGGAACACCAGUGGCGAAGGCGGCUCACUGGACCAUUACUGACGCUGAGGUGCGAAAGCGUGGGGAGCAAACAGG
rnacentral:rRNA from 1 species